rnacentral:rRNA from 1 species
CCCUGGCGACGAGUGGCGAACGGGUGAGUAAUACAUCGGAACAUAUCCAGUAGCGGGGGAUAACCUAUCGAAAGAUUGGCUAAUACCGCAUACGAUCUACGGAUGAAAGCAGGGGACCGCAAGGCCUUGCACUAUUGGAGUGGCCGAUGUCAGAUUAGCUAGUUGGUGGGGUAAAAGCCUACCAAGGCGACGAUCUGUAGCUGGUCUGAGAGGACGAUCAGCCACACUGGAACUGAGACACGGUCCAGACUCCUACGGGAGGCAGCAGUGGGGAAUUUUGGACAAUGGGCGCAAGCCUGAUCCAGCCAUGCCGCGUGAGUGAAGAAGGCCUUCGGGUUGUAAAGCUCUUUCGGUGAAGACGAAACGGUUAGCGUUAAUAACGCUGACUAAUGACGGUACUCACAGAAGAAGCACCGGCUAACUACGUGCCAGCAGCCGCGGUAAUACGUAGGGUGCAGGCGUUAAUCGGAAUUACUGGGCGUAAAGCGUGCG